CUCUCAUAAAAUAAGUAAGCUUUCAUUAGGAAAAGCCGAGGUAAGUUUUCUUUAGGAAAACCGAGGUAAGUUUUCUUUAGGAAAACCGAGGUAAGUUUUCUCUAGGAAAACCGAGUGUAGGCUCGUCUUGAUAAAGAGGGCUGAGGAAAUAAAAUAGUUUCGUCUUAAAGAUAAAAAUGGGAGCGACAAAAAGUAAGAAUCUAGAUUACAUACCAAACGGUUCGGUUGCAGAAAAAAUGAAACGUUUAUACGGAGUUUCCUGUCUAAGUUUCGUUUCUCAGUGGCAUUACAAAUUUGGUUUUCCUAAAAAUGGAUCUUUACAAACCGAAGACAUUCAAAAACUCGAAGAACAAUUAUUGCAGCAAAAGCAGAGCAUGAUUCAGAUGAAGAAUAUACCUCAAAAGGUUUACUUAACGAUGCA